CAGUCGCCGCGGGAAUACGUAGGUGGCAAGCGUUGUCCGGAAUUAUUGGGCGUAAAGCGCGCGCAGGUGGUUUAAUAAGUCUGAUGUGAAAGCCCACGGCUCAACCGUGGAGGGUCAUUGGAAACCGUUAAACUUGAGUGCAGGAGAGAAAAGUGGAAUUCCUAGUGUAGCGGUGAAAUGCGUAGAGAUUAGGAGGAACACCAGUGGCGAAGGCGGCUUUUUGGCCUGUAACUGACACUGAGGCGCGAAAGCGUGGGGAGCAAACAGGAUUAGAGACCCCGGUAGUCCCUGUCUCUUAUAA
rnacentral:rRNA from 1 species